rnacentral:rRNA from 1 species
UACGUAGGGUGCGAGCGUUGUCCGGAAUUAUUGGGCGUAAAGAGCUCGUAGGCGGUCUGUCGCGUCUGCUGUGAAAACUCAGGGCUUAACCUGAGCUUGCAGUGGUACGGGCAGACUAGAGUGCGGUAGGGAGACUGGAAUUCCGUGGUGUAGCGGUGAAAUGCGCAGAUAUCAGGAGGAACACCGGUGGCGAAGGCGGGUCUCUGGGCCGUAACUGACGC